rnacentral:rRNA from 1 species
AUGACGGUACCAGGAGAAUAAGCCCCGGCUAACUUCGUGCCAGCAGCCGCGGUAAUACGAAGGGGGCUAGCGUUGUUCGGAUUUACUGGGCGUAAAGGGCGCGUAGGCGGGUUUUUAAGUCAGGGGUGAAAUCCCAAGGCUCAACCUUGGGNNCNGNNUUGAUACGUGUGAUCUAGAGUCCGGGAGAGGUGAGUGGAACUGCGAGUGUAGAGGUGAAAUUCGUAGAUAUUCGCAAGAACACCAGUGGCGAAGGCGGCUCACUGGCCCGGAACUGACGCUGAGGCGCGAGAGCGUGGGGAGCAAACAGGAUUAGAUACCCUGGUAGUCCACGCCUUAAACGAUGGAUACNAGCCGGUAGGCAGANCNAUUAGCAGUGGAGCUCACACUUUAAGUUCUCCGCCUGGGGGAGGNNCGGUCGCAAGGUUUAAAACUUAAAGGAAUUGACGGGANUCCGCACAAG